rnacentral:tRNA from 1 species
UCCUCGGUAGCUCAGCGGUAGAGCAUAUGACUGUUAAUCAUAGGGUCGCAGGUUCGAUCCCUGCCCGAGGAG